UACGGGGGGAGCAAGCGUUGUUCGGAUUUACUGGGCGUAAAGGGCGAGUAGGCGGCCAGCACAAGUCAGUUGUGAAAUCUCCGAGCUUAACUCGGAACGGUCAACUGAUACUGUGCGGCUAGAGUGCAGAAGGGGCAACUGGAAUUCUUGGUGUAGCGGUGAAAUGCGUAGAUAUCAAGAGGAACACCUGCGGCGAAGGCGGGUUGCUGGGCUGACACUGACGCUGAGGCGCGAAAGCUAGGGGAGCGAACGGG
rnacentral:rRNA from 1 species